rnacentral:rRNA from 1 species
GAUGAACGCUAGGCGGCAGGCUUAACACAUGCAAGUCGGAGGGGCAGCGUAGAUUGCUUGCAAUCUGACGGCGACCGGCGAACGGGGUGCGUAACGCGUAUACAAUCUACCUUUUGCUGAGGGAUAGCCCAGAGAAAUUUGGAUUAAUACCUCAUGGUAUUAUUGAUAGGCAUCUAUUAAUAAUUAAAGGUUACGGCAAAAGAUGAGUAUGCGUCCCAUUAGCUAGUUGGCGAGGUAACGGCUCACCAAGGCAACGAUGGGUAGGGGUCCUGAGAGGGAGAUCCCCCACACUGGUACUGAGACACGGACCAG